AUAACCUCCGCACCAAUAAGAGAGGCAGCGGCUGCCGAGCAGGCUGGGAUCGGAUGGGAGAGGUCCUUCCUGGGCUGUAUUUGUUUGUUUGUGACUGGAGCUGCAAAGUUCAGACCCAAACGUGUUGCUUUCCGCCGGCGGCGGCGGCGGCGACCGCCCCACUUCACCUGCUCCGCUGAGGGGUGCCUGCCCUGCCCGCCCCGGGGCGGCCCCGCCGCUCUGCGGGCCCUCUGCCCGCCAUCCUCCCGCCGUGGGGCCGAAGGACGGCAGGGGAGCGCGGGGCUGCCUCUGUCGCCUGCCCGCCUUCCCUCCGCGGCUGCCGGAGAGGCAACGGACAGGUGUAUCUACAGAAAGACAGAAAAUUAAUCACAGGAACAGAACACUCUGGAUUUUCUUCUGAUGUGCAGACUACACUGAUUGAAGUACUGAAUCCACAUACAGCACCACCUUCCUGUAAAUACUCCAUUUCAAUAGAUUGCCAAAAGGAACUGCAAGAUACUUCAAAGAACCUCAAAAGAGGCAGAGCGGUAUCGCUGGAGCAUAGGAGGAUGAACCUUAAACCUAGCAAUAACUUCGAACUCUGACUUCAUGCUUUCAUUGAUUCUACAGCAAGGCAGUAACACAGUACUGGGACUGUGAGACUACGACAACCUUUCCCUUGUGUAAUGUCAAUGUCGGCUAUCGCUUUGGCAGAAUCAGCCAGCUCAGUGAAGACAGAAAACCUCUCCUUCCCUCCUCUUUUUUCAUCUGCUGGUGGCAUUCAAAGUGACCUUCCCUUAUAAA